UUAAAUUCUGUAUAAUAACCAUAAAAUGGUCGUUUGAUGGUGUAAAUGUGGAAAUACUUAAAAACCCAUCAAUUUCUCUUUAGUAAAUGACCUGCUUUAAAAGCUUGUAAAACGUGCAUGAAAAAAUGUGAAUAUAAUUUUGUUUCAUGAUUUAAUGUUUGUUUUUCAUUUUUUUUUAUAAAUAUGAUUUUUGUUAAAGUUCAAGAUAAAUCAGAACUGGGC
rnacentral:lncRNA from 1 species